rnacentral:lncRNA from 1 species
CACAUUUGUUUUACAAUUUUAAUUACUCCGUUACUCCAAUAUGAUACUUCUUGUACUAAACCACGACAAGUAUUUAGAAACGAAAAAAAUAAGAGACAACAGCGGAGGGAGAAAGAAAAAAAACAGCAUCGUGCGGCAUUAUGGUCUGAUGAUAUUGUGAAGUGCCGCAUAGUUCAAAAGUUGGCGACAUUCGACUGCCACAUAUGACAAGAAUAAGAAGCAGCAGAAGAAGAAGGCCUCUGGAAGCUAGGCUGAUCGAGUUGUUCUGCUUCCAGAACUUUCAACUACCAGUGAUCGAGCUGAUCGCUGAUGAUGAGC